AAUUCGUCUGAACAGAGAUUUCUGAGCAGUGAUAUAUCAGUGCCCAGCAUUUGGUAACAUAUUGUACCAUAUCUAUCCUUAUCAUCAGCAAGAACUAGAAGGGACACGUUAUCAAACAGGUUUUACAUAUACUAAGCUACAUAAGAUCAAGAAAAAUAUAUUAUUAUAAUAUGCGGGAGUAAAAUAUUCAAGAAGAAAUCUUGUCUUAGAAUAUUUGAUCUUUUGGGACUUAAAGACAAUGGCUACAGUGAGUCAAGAGAAAGCCUCCGAGCUCUGCAUGAGAUACAUUGAGGAAUAAGCAGCAAUACAGAAACAUGGGAAUACCCUUUCUGUCACUUGAGUAGAGAAGGUCAAAUAUUCUGAAACCGAAACAGUGUCAAUUGCAGAAAAGGAGAGGGAAACUUGAAAGCUAAAAUGUUGUGGAUAGUUAGCUGCAAUGGUAAAGGCAAUGCAUAUAUGAAGAGGCUUGAUUGAUUUACUUCAGGUUGGAGAAUAUGGCAGGAGAAAAGCUUCCUUUCUCUCGGUUACUAUUUCAAAUUCAACACUGUCCUUUGCCCGGCAAACGCUACAAGAAGACUUG